AAUAACAAAAUAUCACAGUGCAUGCUAUAUAUCAUAAAAAGCACCCAACGCCAAGAGUCAACUCACCGGAAGAAGAUGCUGAUUCUGGGAAAGAUUGAAGGCUAAAGGAGAAGAGGGCGGCAGAGGAUGAGAUGUACCUGAAGAGUGGCCUCAGAUGGAGACUCAAAGAACCAGACACUGCAGGAAUGCCAAGAAUGACCUGGGGAACCACAGUUUUGGGUAUUUACUUGGAUUCCAGUACCCACUCACUGAAUGACUUAAAAACAUGCCAUUUCCCUUAUGACUAUCCAUUUGUUAUUAAGCAAUAUUUAAGAAAUAAUAAUGUGUAUUGUUAUGGGAAAAUUAUGCCCCUGUCAGAACAUAAUUUCUCUGAUAGCAUGUACAUUAGAAGUCAGUAAAUCUUUGCUGAAUGAAAGCAAAUAUGAAAUAAAAGAAUUCUGGGAAAAUCUGGUCUGGUUGUAAUAUUAUGUUUUGAAAUGACAGAUAGGAACUACUAUUCCAGGAGACAAUGUACUUAGUCAGACUAAACUCUUUUUCAUAUUGAAGGUAAAAAGAACCAGAAAUUUGAGCACUAUCUUUGGGGAAAAUACUUAAGAGACCAUUGAACUAUCAAUUAUACCAAAAUAGCUGAAGCAAGUAUGAAUAACAUUAAUAAAUUAUUCUUGUUGCCAACAUUCAGAAUAUAGAAUUUAAGAAAAGAAUAUUUUAUAAAUGUUUGGACACUACUUAUGCAUUUUAAGUUUUAUCUAUAUGUCUAUGAAAAAAAAAAUCAAAGCCAAACAAAUAAAAUUGUACUGUGUCCUUCAAACUGAUUGUGGAAAUGUGUUUUUGUCUUUUGCCUACAUUUCUCUCUUGCCAAUAAUCAAGUUUACUGACACUAAACCAAUGACACAUAAAACUGUUUUCCUGAAUAUGAAUAUUAAUUUAAAAAUGAGUCAAGAAAUAUAAUUUUGUAGAAUGUCUUUGAUAUACACAGUCAAGUAGGAAUAUUUUAUAGCCUUCAAGUAGAUAUUGUCCAUUACAAAUAAACCACAUGUAAUCAUGCUGUUAAGCAGGUAAUAUUAAUGAGAUUAUUAAGGGGUUUCCCUGGUGGUCCAAUGAUUGGGACUUUGUCUUCCGAUGCAGGGGUGCAUGUUCAAUCCCUGGUCAGAGUUAAGAUCUCAGACACCACACAGUCAAAAAACCAAAACAUAAAAAAGAAUCAAUAUUGUAAC
rnacentral:lncRNA from 1 species